CCGCACUGGACAAAAAAUGGAUUUUGAUCCGGAUUCAGAUUGUCAUUACCAAGGUAGUGUUUAUGUACGCGAAUUUAUGAAUUUGAUAAUCGUUAAAUUUAUUUUUUAGCUGUUACGGGCUGAACCCACAUAGUUGGCGUAGAAAAUAAACCAUAAAUUUGCAAUAAACAUAAAGUCUAGUGUACACUGCGAAAAUACUUAAUGUGCAUAUUUUGUACACUACACCACUGCAUUCUACAUUGUACAACAUGCUUUAGACAGAUCUUAUAAAUUGCAACGUUUUCAUUACCAAAGAGCAUUAAAAAUGUGCAAUAAAAAUUGAGGAAAAUACCCCGAUGCAUCAAAUAUUAUUUUCUCAAAUUGACAUGCUUAAUUUAUUAUUCUAAGCAAACAGAACUAUUUAAUUAUUUGUUAAAGUUGUUAUUCAACGAAUCCUAAUCUGAGCUUAAUAUUUUUAGUCUGAGUUAAUCCUUGCUAGUCCAAAG